CGGGUGAGUAACACGUAUCCAACCUGCCGUCUACUCUUGGCCAGCCUUCUGAAAGGAAGAUUAAUCCAGGAUGGGAUCAUGAGUUCACAUGUCCGCAUGAUUAAAGGUAUUUUCCGGUAGACGAUGGGGAUGCGUUCCAUUAGAUAGUAGGCGGGGUAACGGCCCACCUAGUCAACGAUGGAUAGGGGUUCUGAGAGGAAGGUCCCCCACAUUGGAACUGAGACACGAUCCAA
rnacentral:rRNA from 1 species